rnacentral:rRNA from 1 species
CCUACGGGCGGCAGCAGUGAGGAAUAUUGGUCAAUGGGCGGGAGCCUGAACCAGCCAAGCCGCGUGAAGGAAGAAGGCGCCAGGCGUCGUAAACUUCUUUUGUCGGGGAACAAAGGGCGCCACGUGUGGCGUUGUGAGUGUACCCGAAGAAAAAGCAUCGGCUAACUCCGUGCCAGCAGCCGCGGUAAUACGGAGGAUGCGAGCGUUAUCCGGAUUUAUUGGGUUUAAAGGGUGCGUAGGCGGUCCGGAAAGUCAGCGGUAAAAGCCCGGGGCUAAACCCCGGCGAGCAGUUGAAACUGUCGGACUAGAGAGGGCGAGAAGUAGGCGGAAUGCGUGGUGUAGGGGUGAAAUGCAUAGAUAUCGAGAAGAAUACUGAUUGCGAAGGCAGCGUACCGGAGCCGGACUGACGCUGAGGCACGAAAGCGUGGGUAGCGAACAGGAUUAGAUACCCGUGUAGUC